rnacentral:rRNA from 1 species
UGGCGGACGGGUGAGUAAACGCGUGGAAAACCUGCCGUAUACUGGGGGAUAACACUUAGAAAUAGGUGCUAAUACCGCAUAAGCGCACAGCUUCGCAUGAAGCGGUGUGAAAAACUCUGGUGGUAUACGAUGGUUCCGCGUCUGAUUAGCUAGUUGGUGGGGUAAUGGCCUACCAAGGCAACGAUCAGUAGCCGGCCUGAGAGGGUGAACGGCCACAUUGGGACUGAGACACGGCCCAAACUCCUACGGGAGGCAGCAG